rfam:Setaria italica strain Yugu1 chromosome VII, whole genome shotgun sequence.
GCCAAUGAUGAGUUGCCCUGUCAAUUAGGUGUAGAUCGCCUCAAGUCCCUGAAUUUCAGGGAGAACCUACUUGGGGUCCUACAUUGGAGUGAGAUAUAUGGGCUUUUACUGAGGU